rnacentral:rRNA from 1 species
GACGUAGGGCGCGAGCGUUGUCCGGAUUUAUUGGGCGUAAAGAGCUCGUAGGCGGCUUGUCGCGUCGACUGUGAAAUCCCGCGGCUCAACUGCGGGUCUGCAGUCGAUACGGGCAGACUAGAGUGCGGUAGGGGAGAUUGGAAUUCCUGGUGUAGCGGUGGAAUGCGCAGAUAUCAGGAGGAACACCAAUGGCGAAGGCAGAUCUCUGGGCCGUAACUGACGCUGGAGGAGCGAAAGCGUGGGGAGCGAACAGG